AUGAUGCGGUGCGCCGUGAGGGGCGGCGGUGCUCACGUCGUCGUCGGCGAGCGGAGGUCUGCGUCGUCGUCGCCCGGCGGCAGCGGCGGAAGGAGCGUCGUGCGGAUGUCGGAGGGCCGCGGCGGGCUCUGCUGCGGCGGCGUGCGGUCGCGCGCGGCGGAUCUCGCGGGGCUCGAGAUGGGCCGGCCCAGCGCCGGCGCCGCGGGGCUCUUCCGGAGCGCGCGCUACGGCCGCGUGCGCGCCACCGCCUCAGCUGAUCCCGAGGAUAUUCCAUCUGACAAGCUUCAAGCUAAAUCGUCCGGGAGUGUUCUGCCAUACGUUGGCGUUGCUUGCUUGGGGGCAAUUUUGUUCGGCUACCAUCUUGGUGUGGUCAAUGGCGCACUUGAAUAUCUCUCGAAAGAUCUUGGGAUUGCUGAAAAUGCUGUGUUACAAGGAUGGGUGGUUAGUACAACCCUGGCUGGCGCGACAGUAGGUUCUUUUACCGGAGGGGCUUUGGCUGAUAAAUUAGGGAGAACACGGACAUUUAUCCUAGAUGCAAUCCCUCUUGCUGUAGGCGCAUUCUUGAGUGCAACAGCUCAAGAUGUCCGUACAAUGAUUAUUGGUCGAUUACUUGCUGGGAUUGGUAUUGGGAUCUCUUCUGCUCUUGUGCCCCUUUACAUAUCUGAGAUCUCACCAACUGAAAUACGUGGAGCACUUGGUACAAUUAAUCAGCUGUUUAUCUGCAUUGGAAUUCUUGCAGCUUUGGUAGCUGGAUUGCCAUUAGCACAAAAUCCUGCAUGGUGGAGGACAAUGUUUGGAAUUUCAAUAGUUCCAUCUAUUUUGUUGGCUCUAGGAAUGGCUGUUUCACCUGAAAGCCCUCGCUGGCUAUUCCAGCAAGGAAAGAUUUCUCAAGCAGAAGCAGCUAUAAAAAAAUUGUAUGGAAAAGAGAAGGUUACUGAAGUCAUGUAUGACCUGAAGGCUAGUGGGCAAGGAUCUAAUGAGCCAGAUGCCAACUGGUUUGAUCUAUUCAGCAAACGCUAUUGGAAAGUUGUGAGCGUGGGAGCGGCACUGUUUUUGUUGCAGCAACUUGCUGGCAUAAAUGCUGUUGUGUACUACUCUACAUCAGUGUUCCGCAGUGCAGGCAUUGCAUCUGAUGUUGCAGCGAGUGCUCUUGUUGGUGCCGCGAAUGUUUUUGGCACCAUGAUUGCAUCUUCACUGAUGGACAAGCAAGGGAGGAAGAGCCUUCUCAUAACAAGCUUUUCUGGGAUGGCGGCGUCGAUGUUACUCUUGUCAUUGUCCUUCACCUGGAAGGCUUUGGCACCUUAUUCUGGCACUCUUGCUGUUGUGGGCACUGUCCUGUAUGUGCUGUCAUUCGCUCUUGGAGCUGGCCCUGUUCCAGCUUUGCUCCUUCCUGAAAUAUUUGCCUCCAGAAUAAGGGCCAAGGCUGUAGCAUUAUCAAUGGGCAUGCACUGGGUAUCCAACUUCUUCAUCGGCCUGUACUUCCUGAGCGUCGUCAACAAGUUUGGAAUCAGCACCGUGUACUUGGGAUUCGCGUCCGUGUGUGCUCUCGCAGUCCUGUACAUUGCCGGGAAUGUGGUCGAGACCAAGGGGCGAUCCCUGGAAGAGAUUGAGCGGGAGCUAAGCCCGCCCAGUAAAGCCGAUGCUAAUGCUUUCUUGGUGAGCGAUCAAUGA
rnacentral:rRNA from 1 species